CCUACGGGAGGCAGCAGUGGGGAAUAUUGCACAAUGGGCGCAAGCCUGAUGCAGCCAUGCCGCGUGUGUGAAGAAGGCCUUCGGGUUGUAAAGCACUUUCAGCGGGGAGGAAGGCGGUGAGGUUAAUAACCUCAUCGAUUGACGUUACCCGCAGAAGAAGCACCGGCUAACUCCGUGCCAGCAGCCGCGGUAAUACGGAGGGUGCAAGCGUUAAUCGGAAUUACUGGGCGUAAAGCGCACGCAGGCGGUCUGUCAAGUCGGAUGUGAAAUCCCCGGGCUCAACCUGGAAACUGCAUUCUAAACUGGCAGGCUAGAGUCUUGUAGAGGGGGGUAGAAUUCCAGGUGUAGCGGUGGAAUGCGUAGAGAUCUGGAGGAAUACCGGUGGCGAAGGCGGCCCCCUGGACAAAGACUGACGCUCAGGUGCGAAAGCGUGGGGAGCAAACAGGAUUAGAUACCCCAGUAGUC
rnacentral:rRNA from 1 species